GCCUCUUUACUCAUGCAAGCCCCUCUCUCAACCUUUACUCUUCACAGGACAAAGACUUCGUUUAGCAAGGGCUUAGCCUCUCAUAAAGAAAGACGACUGAUUUCUUCUUCAAUUAUGAUCGCCUCUAUUUUUCUUACUCUAUUUGCUACUUGGAUUUAAUUUUCUCUUUUCAAUUUCUUCUAAAUCCGUGUUGUUUCUCUACUUUUAAACAAGUUUGCUUGUGUAAUUUAUAAUAAUAGGUCAAUUUUUU
rnacentral:misc_RNA from 1 species